rnacentral:lncRNA from 1 species
GUCAUUCAAAAUACUAAUCGACAAAAAGCAUAGUUGAAUCAAUAGUAAAUACCACUUUGGUUGGCCAAUUGGUUGACCUGAACUUAGCAUAUGCAGCAUUUAGUCAUUGACCAAUUGGUUGACCUGAACUUAGCAUACUUGCUUUCCCAUCAACUUCCCAUAAUGCGAUUAUAUGUAAUCGAAAGUCUAACGUAAUUCAAAUACCUGCCCUAAUUUCAAACAGUUUGCAAUUCUCAUUAAGUGGGCGAUAGCUUAAAACAAUUGGUAAGGAAUAAUAUUGUCAUGUGCACAAUCUCUACACUUUUUUAAAAAAAAAAGUGUCUAAAACACUAUUAAAGAAACAUCAAUUGACAUGAGUAUCAAUUAGUAUUCACAAAUAAAGUUUACAUUGACACUUUCCGAGUUCGUAGUAGGAAGGAAAAAUGGGCAAGGGAUUACAAUGGCCAACCCUAAUGAGAAAGGAGAAAUAUUGAAACAAGGAAGCAAACAAGUUCAACGUUUGUGUUUCACAAAAUUAAACAAGAUUGUGUUGUAAAGAAGAAUGGGUGAAGCCCACAUGCUCUAACAUUCAAACCAUACACCCACCAAAUCAAACCACACACCUACCAAACCAAACCACACACCUACCAAACCAAAUCACACACCCACCAAACCAAGCCAUUUGCUUUGCCUAUAAAUAGGCAUUAUAUUUGCUUGUAAUGAGGAGAUGAAAUGAGAGAAGAGGAAGAGAAGGAAGAAAGAGGGUGAGUGAGUUGAGAGGAAAGAGAGCAAGAGAGAAAUUCUCCAAGAGAGAAAAUUGAGUGAGCCAUACAUAUUGUAAACACUAAAGUUGUAGCCCUAUUAUUUUACAUAGUGGAAAAGUUACUACUGCUGCUCUCCGGGGACGUAGGCAUAGCCGAACCUCGUUAAAUACUGUGUCUCAUCUACUUUACGUGCAGCUCAAUAUUCGCACAUAUCCCAGUUAUUUUACAAUAGAUUGCACUUUUUUGGGUAAGUUUUCCACACCAAUAUGUACACACUACAUACGUUGUUUUUGCCAACCAACUAAACUCUAUGCAUCCCCAAAUGCCAAAUUCAACUCUUGUUCCUGUUGGCGUGACUUGUGGAUAUUGACUUACUUUCCUUACACACUAAGAAUUCCUAUUAUAAUUGUAAUUGAUUUACUUUAAUUCCUGAUUUCCUACUGCAAAUAGAUUUAGGAAUUUAUUAUUUACUUGCCCAUUCAGGUUUCGUUGUAUUAUAAAUAUGACCUCCUACAAGGAGAAGAAUACACAGAAAAUUCCCACAAACAAAUAUUCUCUCAUAGUUUUCAUAUUUUAGCAUGGUAUCAGAGCGGCGAUCUUGGAAUUGCUGACUCUAGUUUCAAACCACCGCCGCUGCUAUGGGGGUUGAUGAUUUUUUCAACCCUCAUGGAGGUAGCACCACCGACUCCUUCUCUCAUUCUCCACCAACCAUCAUUGAGUUGAGUGCCCAGAUGGCUCCACUCCUACAGAUGCAGACUUUGACCCUGAACCCGAUCCAGAAUCCGGAUCCUUUUUUGACGACCCCGACCUCGACCCUGACUAUGACGACGACGACCCCGACCCCGACCCCGACUAUGACGACGACGACCCCGACCCCG